CGCGACCAUAGAGAGGGGGAUCACCCGGUCCCAUUCCGAACCCGGCAGUUAAGCCCCUCUUCGCCGAAAGUACUGCGGUGCAGUCCGUGGGAGGAUAGGGCGUCGC
rnacentral:rRNA from 1 species